CUGCUGCAAGAAAGUGUGUGUGUGAGCACACCAGAGCCUUCCACCAGCUGGGUGCCCUGCCUGUCCGGACCACAGCAGUGGUGAUGUUUCCUGCUCUCCGGACUGCUACAGUUGGUCAGGCUGCUGUCUUGUCUUCAUUUAGUUUUGUUUGAUUUACUAUUUUGUCUGUUACUUUUGGUAUGAUUGUCUUUGUCCAUUGUCUUUCUUUUGUGAGGAGGCAGAGUGUAAUGGGGGGUGGGGCCUAGUCACUUGCUGGGGAACUAGAGUGUGUGUGUGUACUGAGAGUUGCUUGCUGUGGAGAGCUGCAUUACUGUGUGAGACACUUUCAUAGACUUGCUGUGUUUGGUGCGAACGUAUCACCCUUGAUAUUAGCCUGCCCCCCCCUCAGGCAAGCUCUGCCUGUCUCUGUUAUUUGUUACCCCUCCCUCUUUGUUAGAAUGUCUGUCUUACAUGUUUAAUAAAUUGUUUAUUUUCGGAA